rnacentral:rRNA from 1 species
CAAUAGCGUAUAUUAAAGUUGUUGCAGUUAAAAAGCUCGUAGUUGGAUUUUGAGUUUGGUAAAAUCGGUCUGCUUUUCGCAGUACUGACUUGCCUGCUCUUCUUCUCGAGGCCUAUGAGUGUACUUAACCGUGCGUUCAUAGUGUUCGGGACUUUUACCGUGAGAAAAUUAGAGUGUUCAUAGCAGGCUUUUGCUUGAAUAUUGCAGCAUGGAAUAAUGGAAUAGGAUCAUGAUCUUAUUUUGUUGGUUUCUAAGAUCAAGAUAAUGAUUAAUAGGGAUAGUUGGGGGCAUUAAUAUUUAGUUGUCAGAGGUGAAAUUCUUAGAUUUACAAAAGAUUAACUUCUGCGAAAGCAUUUGCCAAGGAUGUUUUCGUUAA